rnacentral:rRNA from 1 species
AUACGUAGGUGGCGAGCGUUGUCCGGAAUUACUGGGUGUAAAGGGCGUGUAGGCGGGAGUGUAAGUCAGAUGUGAAAUACCACGGCUCAACCGUGGGGGUGCAUCUGAAACUAUGCUUCUUGAGUACUGGAGAGGGAAGUGGAAUUCCUAGUGUAGCGGUGAAAUGCGUAGAUAUUAGGAGGAACACCAGUGGCGAAGGCGGCUUCCUGGACAGUAACUGACGCUGAGGCGCGAAAGCGUGGGGAGCGAACAGGAUUAGAUACCCUGGUAGUCCACGCCGUAAACGAUGGAUACUAGGUGUAGGAGGUAUCGACCCCUUCUGUGCCGGAGUUAACACAAUAAGUAUCCCACCUGGGGAGUACGGCCGCAAGGUUGAA